rnacentral:rRNA from 1 species
UACGGGGGGAGCAAGCGUUGUUCGGAUUUACUGGGCGUAAAGGGCGCGUAGGCGGCCAGCACAAGUCAGUUGUGAAAUCUCCGAGCUUAACUCGGAACGGUCAACUGAUACUGUGCGGCUAGAGUGCGGAAGGGGCAACUGGAAUUCUUGGUGUAGCGGCGAAAUGCGUAGAUAUCAAGAGGAACACCUGCGGCGCAGGCGGGUUGCUGGGCCGACACUGACGCUGAGGCGCGAAAGCCAGGGGAGCGAACGGG